CAAAAAUGUUAAAGUUCUUAUUUCAUGGUAUAACUUUGGUAUGCUUGGACCUAGAGUCUUCAAACUUGACAUGAAGGUUGGCCAGGAUUAACAGAUGACCACUGGUCAUUUCAAGGUCAUUCAUUUGAAGGUCAAGGUCACUGUGACCUUCAAUAUAAAAAAUGUUAAAGUUGUUAUAACUUUGGUAUGCUUGGACCUAGAGUCUUGAAACUUGACAUGAAGGUUGGCCAUAACUAGUUAGUAACCACUGGUCAUUUCAAGGUCAUUCAUUUGAAGGUCAAGGUCACUGUGACCUUGAAUGUAAAAAUGUUAAAGUUGUUAUAACUUUGGUAUGCUUGGACCUAGAGUCUUGAAACUUGACAUGAAGGUUGGCCAGAACUAGUAAGUAACCACUGGACAUUUCAAGGUCAUUCAUUUGAAGGUCAAGGUCACUGUGACCUUGAAUGUAAAAAUGUUAAAGUUCUUAUUUCAUGUUAUAACUUGGGUAUGCUUGUACCUAGAGUCUUCAAACUUGAAAUAAAGAUUGGCCAGUACUAGAAGAUGACCACUGGUCAUUUCAAUGUCAUUCAUUUGAAGGUCAAGGUCACUGUGACCUUCAAUGUUAAAAUGUUAAAAUUGUUAUAACUUUGGUAUGCUUGGACCUAGAAUCUCAAACUUGACGUAAAGGUUUGCAAGCACACUUAGAUGACCACUGGUCAUUUCAAGGUCAUUCAUUUCAAUGUCAUUCAUUUGAAGGUCAAGGUCACUGUGAACUUAAAUGUUAAAAUGUUAAAAUUGUUGUAACUUUGGUAUGCUUGGACCUAGAAUCUCAAACUUGACGUAAAGGUUUGCAAGCACACUUAGAUGACCACUGGUCAUUUCAAGGUCAUUCAUUUGAAGGUCGAGGUCACUGUGACCUUGGAUGUAAAUAUGUUAAAGUUGUUAAUACUUUGGUAUGCUUAGACCUAGAGUCUUCAAACUUGAUAUGAAGGUUGGCCAGAACUAGUAGAUGACCACUAGUCAUUUUAAGGUCAAGGUCACCGUGACCUUGAAUGUAAAAAUGUUAAAAUUCUUAUUUCAUGGUAUAACUUUCUUAUGCUUGGACUUACAGUCUUCAAACUGGACAUGAAGGUUGGCCAGCACUAGUAGAUGACAAUUGGUCAUUUUAAGGUCAUUGAAGGUCAAGGUCACUGUGACCUUGAAUGUUAAAAAUUAAAAGUUGUUUUAACUUUCGUAUGCUUGGACAUGGACUUUGCCAUGACUAACAGAUGACCACUGGUCAAGAGAACAA